UAGCUCAGCUGGGAGAGCGCCUGCUUUGCACGCAGGAGGUCUGCGGUUCGAUCCCGCAN
rnacentral:tRNA from 1 species